rnacentral:lncRNA from 1 species
AAUUUUCCAAUAAGACAGUAAGAGCUGCUAAAAAACAGGCCGAUGUCACCCUGCAGGCCUCCGGUCAUCUUUCUGUCAGCCCCUCUGUAAACAUGAAUUCUCAGAGUUACCCUCCCAGCAUGGCAACAGCUGCUUAGCUUCUCCUUCUCCUGGGUCUUUCCUCGGAGAUAAUCCUUUGCUGUUGAGAUUGGGAAAAUGAUGAUGAGCCAGCUGUCACUUGUACCCAGCCAGGCCAGACGGUCCAGGUCAGCUUGGCUUGAACUCCCCCAGUGCACGCGGAGCAUGACAGCCCAAAGCCCCCUUCUGAGAUUCCUGAGAAUUUCCAGAUCUCACCAAUGCAUGAGCUUUAGGUUCCGUGAAAUCUUGAUCUGCCUCUGCAUCUCACCCCAGGUCGAGGCUUCCCCGUUUGUUCCGAGAUCAGCAGGACUUCCAUGGACAACUGUGCUGCUGGGCCACCAUGGAGAAGCUUCUGGAAUGGAAGUCAGGAGUGAUCACAGAUUCUGUCUCCCGAGGAUAAUGCCAGCAGUCAAGUGGAUUGUGCACGAAGCAAGCCCAAGCCUUCCUGGAGCUGGGAGAGACGUGGUUCUUCCCUGUGUCAUGGACACCAAGGGUGAGAAGGGAUGGUGGAGACAGACUGCAGGUGGAGACAGAUGUGUGGCCAUCGCUAUUGCGAGUAUCUUCCAAGGAUUCCCAAACAGGGGUUUGGGGACAAUGCCAUGA